GGGAGGGCUGAGCACUGGCUUGAGCUCCGCAGACUGUAAAUCUGUCGCCUUUUGGCUGUGGCGGUUCGAGGCCGCCCCCUCCCACCA
rnacentral:tRNA from 1 species